GGCGAUGUAGCUCAGACGGCAGAGCGGUCGUCCCGUAAACGACAGCGCGCGAGUUCGACUCUCGCCAUCGCCU
rnacentral:tRNA from 1 species